AGACAGAAUCCGGGUGGGGAGGUCGGUCCUGCGGCUGCAGCUCUGAAGGGUCCCCGCUGUCAGCUUGGGAUGGCGCUGCGGGGUCAGCCCCGAGGGCACGUUCAGGGCCUUGGGACGCAGGAGCUGCUGUCUGGGAGCCCCCAAGCCCCCAUCCUGCGCACGUGGUGAGGCCCUUAAGAGUGCGACUCUCCCCCGAGGGCGAAGAGAAUCUGCAGCUCUGAGCCACGGGGCAGCUCUGGGUCUGAGGAUUUCUGGGGCCACUGGGCGGAACAAAGACUGGCGGGGACAGAGGAGGCUAGGGCAUCCCGAGCCCGAGUUAGGGGAACUCCCUCCAGAACAGGUGGAGGAGGAGCCUGGGUCUUGGUCCCAAGGAUUUAGGGGUGGCAGGGACAGCCCUGGGGACUGCGGAGUCUGAUGGAGGAGGCGGGAGGCGAGUGGGAGUCUCACACCUGAGAGGUCGGUUGAGGCUCACGGGAUCAGGUACAGAACUGGCCAAAGAGAACACAGGAAAGUCAUUUUGGAGACGUCCAGCCGGAAGUUCGAAGGGCAGUUUGGGGUGGGGAGCCUUUCAGAGGGGUUGGAGGUCUGCCGAGGCUGCGCAGGAAGGAGAUUGGAAGGGGGCUUUUGAGCCUCCAGUGAGUCUGUGGGCUCUUGUCUGGCUGGGGCCAGGCCAGGCCCUGGAAGCCUCACGGGGAAGGGGGGGGUCAUCUUAGGAGGGGCAGCUUCUCCGUGAUGAGAAUGGGGGAGACCGGGGUGGGCUCUCAGGGUCAGCCCCAGGGAGAAAUCGUGUUGGAGAGAAUGACCUGUGUUUUCGCUUGUGGGUCUGCAGGUGUGUGUGUGUGCCCUGCGUGUGUGCCCACGCGCGUGUGUAUUUGCUGGUGGGCCUGAGGUUUUUUGUUUUUUUUUUUUGUUUUUUUUUUCCAAGUAGGCCUGUGGGCUAAAAGGUGUCUCAAAGGUUUUGGAAGAAUGACAUGGAGAAUCGGAGGGUGCAGGAGUCUCCGAGGGGGUCACUGCCUUCCUGCAGGGUCCCUGCAGGUCUGUGGUCCUGUGGGACCAGCCCCCGUUCCCCAGCCACACUUGAAACAGGCAACUUGCCUCAGCUGCUCGGGAGCCUGAAGCUCUGUGACCUGGGGAUCUUCUUCUUCCAAAAUUGUCUUCCCUGGCAGACCUGGCCCAGAGCCAGGGCCAGGAAUGGUGGGGGAGGGACACUGGGGGAGCUCAGGGGUCAGAGGCCGGCUUGGAAGGUCCAGUGAAGCAGGGAAGGUCGGUGUGGGAGACGAGGUGGGGGACGAGGCCUCCUGAUGCUCCACCAAUAAUAAUAAAAUCAGAAUCGACAUAUAAAAGGUCUGACUCUGUGUCAGACCAUGUUUUAGGUCCUUGACCUGAACUUCAUCUUAUCUAAUCCUCAUGUUUAAUCAUUUAUUGCCUCCUUCUUAUGGUGGGGAAAUCCGACAGCUCAAGAAGUUAAGUAACCCCUGAAUUGGAGGUUGCAGGUAAAAUACAGGAUGCUUACUUAAAUGUGAAUUUUAGAUAAACCGUGAAUUACCUGUUAGUGUAAGUGUAUCCAAAACAUUUCAUGCGACCUGCCUAUACUUAAACGCAAUUUGCUCAAAUAAAUAAAAAAAGAUUUUUUUAUGUAGAUUGUCCCAUGAAGUGUUUGGACAUACUUAAACUAAAAAAUUAUUUGUACAUCUGAAAUUGAAAUUUCCAUUUGCUGUGUAUUUACUGUAUGAUGAUGUUGAAUUUGGCAAACUUGACCCCUGAGACCUCUCAGCCACUGACUGUCAGGCAGGAAUCCCCCCAAUCCCCCCCUCCCCUACACACACUGGCCAAGUCCUGCCCGGGGUGAACCUGGGGAGGAGGCAGGGUCCCAGGACCCCACAGCUGAGCCUGCUGCCAAGCACCUCCUGCAGGGCCCGCCCCUCCCCAGGGGCUGUGGGGAGGGGUCCACCGAGCAGCCCCCUCCCCUUCCCAGCAGCCCUGAGAGGCAGUCACUGAGCCUCCUGGACCAGAAGGGGGCCCAGGCCAGGCAAGGGCGGUGCUGGUCUGAACCACGUGGCCAAGCUGCCCCGGAGCCUUAGGACAGGGCUGGCAUGCGGCCCUGGCAGUGCCGGCCAGGAGGGCACUUACUGAGUGCCUGCUGUAUGCCAGACACCAGAGGCCCUCUGAUACCCGGUCGGCUGAGCUGCCCCUUCAGGGACCCGACGCUUGCCCUUGGAUGGGGGGACCGGAGGACUUGGGGGCCAUAGCUGCCCGUGUCCACCCCCAUGUGAGGGCAGGGCUGGGUCACCCCCGGCCAUCUGGCUGCACAGCCCAAGCACUCCCUGCUCUGGUCUCCUGCCCACAGGGGGUGCCUGUGGCAUCACGAUGCUGCCUCUCAGCACCAUCCGGAGCCAGGAACCGGAGGAGGUGAGGACCAAGCCGCCGGAGAGAAGAGCGCUGCCUUCUGAGAAACCUAAGGUUCGUCGUCGCCCAAGGAAGUCCUCCAGGAAGAAGGCGAGAAUGUCAGCCAGACGGGUGCCGGUUUGUCCCCUGCGUGGAUCCUUUGCGGGCUGGUUGCUCCUUUGUCCGCCCCACGCCCCGGAUGUGGUCCCAUUCUCUGGGGGAUGGUUUCCUCAAGGAUGCUGCCCUCUUUCCUGCCUCCUCUUUCCUAACUCCAGCCUCUGCUCCAAUGUCACCUCCUCCAAGAAGCCUCCACCUGGACACUUCCUAUCCAUCAGGGGCUAAUGCCUGGCCUUGCUGAAUUUCUUCUGCAUUACUAAUGCUACCUGAGAGCGUAUUUUCUAUCUAUUGUCCAUCUUCUGUCUCCCCUACUAGAGUAGUUCUGUGAGUGCAGGACCCUCCUUGGUUGCUCAGUGACAGAUCCCUCCAGCAUAGACCAGAUAUAAGGAGGGGUAGGCAUUGUAUACACGCGGGCUGAAGAAAUGAAGGAAUGAAUUAGAGAGUGGUCCCUGCCGAGGCAGGCAGCUCUGGCUUUGCCCACCCGAGUGCAUUCCUCCUUCUGCUAACACCCUUGUUCUAUCCUGGAAACACCUGCGUCCACGUACUUGGGAUGAAUCUGAUCCCAGCCUCAAACCAGCUCCAGGUGUAACCUGACCAAUCAGAGCAGGCAAUGCCCCCGGCUUCACUGUGAUUGGUUCGGGGCUGAGCAUGUGACUCGGCCUUGGCCAUGAGGCGUCUGAUCCAUCUCUGGGGUUCCCGGCAGGCAGGAGGGGAGACGCGAGGGGCUGUGAAGGGACCAGGGAGGUGGAGGGCAGAGUCCGGGGAGGCGCGGGGUUCGGGUUCUGGGAAGAACGCCUUUCCCAUUAGUGCCUGCCGCAGUGCCAGGAAGGACUCAAAAAAAUCUUCUCAUUAGAAAAGAAGGUAAGAGUCUCUGAUUUUGCAAAAACAGUAGAAAGAUAAACACAUUCACCGAUUGUUAAGCCUUUUCUCUGUCCAGGUUUCCUCUCAUUAUGUAUGUCUGUAUGGACUUAGACAUUUUCUUUCACAAGUGUGGGAGGGUGGUAACCUUCCUGCAUUUAAUCCCAAUACACACGUUCAUCUCCUCACUGCCCUCAUGCCAGAUUUGCGAAUUUGCUACCUAUGGUCUGUUUGCUGUUCAUUUUCCUCCGACACAAGAUCCCCUCUAGGGCCGGGUGUGGUGCUUUGUAAUGUGCCUUUAGUUCUCUUUAAGCUGGAAAAUCUCCUCAGGCUUCCUUUGCCUCUUAUGGCACUGACAAUUUUGAAGUCCAGAGUCACACCUUGCUCCAUAUUCGUGGUUUAUUGUUUUUUUUUUUUAAUUGUUGUUGUUUGUUUUUCUUUUUUUCUUUUUUGCCCUUUCCCCAUUAAUGAGAUUCAGGUAAGCAAUGAUCUCUGGAACACCAGCUUGGUUAUGGCAUGUCUUCCUCAGGACAUCACAUCCCAGUACACAGCAGGCCCAUCUCUCAUCAUCAGGGAUACGAAUUUCGAUCCACUUGGCCAGGAUGCUUGUCCCAUUUCUCCACUGAAUACUUUCUGAUUUGUUAUUUCUACAUGUAACUAAUCAAUGAGAACUCAUGGAGAGAUAUUUGUAGAUGAACCAAGUAAUGUAGAAACACAGAGCAUUCUGAUGGGCCCAUUUCCGCCCUUGUGCCCAUGACUGAACCCAUCAUCCGCUGAGGCGUGGAAACCCCUAAAUCUGUCAGCCUGGGUCACGUGGCCAUGGAGUGUGUGGGGUAGAAGGUCCUUACCUUCUCCCAACCACAAGAACAGAAGCACAGGAUCAGGUAGUGGUUCUCAACCAGAGGUAGUUUACCUCCCAGGGGACACCUCCAACAUCUGGGAUCAUUUCUGCUUGUCACGUCUGAAGAGGUGAUGCUCUGGUACCUUGUGGGCAGAGGCCAGGCAUGGUAUUCAACACCCUGCAAUGCAAGCCCCCUCCCCCCACUGCAAGAAGCAUCUGGUCCCACAUGCUCACUACCGUGGAGUCUGAGGAACCCAGGAAUAGGGGAAGAUUGGUUCUGACGUGGUGAGGGCACUGAGCAGUGACAAAACCCUCCUGUCCACCCUAAGCCUCCAGCUGUGAGUGCCAGGCUAGUGAAGCUAAGGGCACACCUUAGCUUCCUCUGUGCCUCAGUUUGCUCACCUGUGAAAUAGAGCAGUAAGAACACCCUUCCUGGGAAUUACCAUGAGGAUAAAGUGAGCUCACAUUUAUACUUCCUUACAGUGGGGCCUGGAAUAUAAGCAUUUGUCAGGUAAAUGGUGGGAGAUGUCCGUCCCUGGGGAAGGGUCCAUCCUCACUCCUAAUCCUGACUCCCUGACACCCCAUCUCUCCAUUGUCAUGAGUGGGCAUGUUCGUGGGGCUCCCCACCUCCUUGUCCUUGUCUGGAAGAUGGAGAAGUAACGACAGAGGCCACUUCAUGAGAAUUAAAGGGGACCUGCCACGUCAUUCACGCAGAAGACUAAGCACCAGAUAACCGGGAGGUAGAAGGGUCCUCCUAGACACCACGACAGCUCCGUGUCGCUUACCAAGUGCCAGUACCAUGGGAGAGGCUUUAUCUUGGAAGGAAGUAUUUAAUUUUUUAGGAAAGCAGAUGGUUUUAAGAAACUAGCAAAACCAAAGUUGUCACAGCUCCCGGGUUUUCAGCUCUCACUAAGCGGCAAACAUUGUUUCAGCUCCAUUUCUUGGGUCCCCCUGUCCAGUCCUCAUGCUCCCCUCUGCGGGAGCAGUUCCUGAUAUUUCAUGAUACAGGAGUGUACACUGAGGCAGAAGCCAGGUCUCCUGCCCCAGGAUCCCCAGCUGUACGUGGCCCCUUCGGAGGGACUCAGCCCCAGGUGGGCUGACCCUGAUUCCAUAGGCUCAGCCCCCACACCUGGGGAUCGUGGGCUCCGCAGGGGAGUAAGACUCUCUUCCUUUUUCUCUGUUCUCUCCCCUUCCAGCCAAGUGUUUGCUUCACCUUUUACUUGGAAACGGAUGACUCUGACUCUGAACCGAAGUCUUCUCCUGAAACUCCGAAACCUAGCACAAGAUGCGCCUCCCCUCCGAAGGCUGCUGCAGAGUACCAGGAAAUCCAGGCGUGGGAAUGUCCCCUGUGCUGCCUCAGCAUUUUCUGCCUUUCCUAAGUCUCAUGACCCUCCACUUCCCACUGCUCUUGAAUGGGCACCCCCAAACCAUGCAUGCUGGGCUCCUGUGAUGUAAACCCCCAAAUACAGCUGCUUAAAUAAACGGAAGUAGAUG
rnacentral:lncRNA from 1 species